UUGCAUACCUGUCCUGCCUCACUGUUUCACACACUUUAAGACCCCCAGCGCUGAUCAGUGACUGUCCAGUCCUUUCACAGACACUGACACAGGCAGCGUUAUGAUGAUGUCAAACUUUCUACUGCUGGUGAUGCUGGGACUCCUUGUACAGGGAUCAAUGGCAGAUAUAGUCCUGACUCAGUCUCCAGCAGCUCAGUCUUUUCAGCAGGGAGACACUGUCUCUAUCAGCUGUACAGCCAGUGAGAGUGUGAGCAGCGAUCUCCACUGGUACCUGCAGAAACCUGGUCAGCCUCCUAAACUUCUGAUUUAUAGAGACACAACUCGCCAGACUGGGAUCCCUGAUCGUUUCAGUGGGAGUGGAUCUGGGACUCAGUUCACACUGAAAAUCACUGGAGUCCAGGCUGAAGAUGCAGGAGAUUAUUACUGUCAGCAGAGUGAGAGCUUGCCGUUCACACAGUGAUAGAGAGCCGUACAAAAACCUCCCUCAGUCAGACUGCACAGAGACUGCACUGCUGCAGCUGGGACCUACUGCAGGUGCUGAGGGGGGAGGCACUGGUCUGGAACACUGAGCAAUGGUAGAUUAUUUUUUAAAAAGUAUACUGACAAAUCAAAACAAUUACUAUAUAUUUCAGUAUAUUUCAGAAUACCCACACUUUUAAUAAGGAAUGUAUUGUAAUGUCGAAGACUUUCCAAUGACUUUGCUUUGUAAUCACUCCUUCGCCAAUAGACAAGUGUUGUUCUGAAGCAUUACUCUGACAUAAAAUAUCAUAUUUCUAAACUCUUUGAUAGUUAAUGAGAUUAACACAGGAUGGCACAGAGCCCAGCAGCAGUGAACUGCAGGCAGUCCAGCACAGUGGAGUCGCUUAGUCCAGAGCUCUCCCUGCACAUCUUACACAGGCUGCUGCUACACGCCCUGACCAAUCAGAGAGCUCCACUGCUGCUUCUGAUCUGAUCCUCCAACCCCGUAAUAAAGGAGCACAGACUACAGUCUGACAGCACCGCUGACCAAUCCGGUGAGCCGCUGUGCAGAAGGGAUCAUAUCAUUAUCUGUGAGGGCACCACAGGAGGGAGGGAGGGACUCCUUCAGCUCAGUCGUCCCUUUCUCUCUGAGGAAAAGCGAUUCCUCUGGGUGACUGUGUGCCUGCAGUCUGCCUGUGCCAGCUGCGCAGUGUGAGCUCCCAGAUUCAGUGGCUGCGCUGCUCAGCUGGCUGAGAGCUAAAUGAGAAUUAGCGGCUGCUGACUGCACACGGGGAAGAGUAGGAUUAUCUGAACUCUUCAGGACUGAUGGAGGAAUUACAGUCUAGGACAAGAAUGACACUAAAACCUGGCUUAAAUCAUGGAAUAUGUUUUCCACGGUCAGCUUAGUUUUCACAGUAAGUAAAAAGAAGCAUCUUCAUUGCUAGUUGUCACAAUACAACUGCAUUAAACUGAGAAAGAUGAUAUGAGAGAAAUCAGGAAACAUUCAAAAUAAUUCAGCAUUUCACUUUUCAAUGAUUCUAUAUGGACGUACUGUAACUGAAUAAAUUCCUGUGACUGACUGAUGUCCCUGACUGUCUGAUCUCAUGUUAUGAGCCUGUCGUCAGUGCACACAAUAUGUUAAUUUUUUAAGCAUAUUUUUUACAAUCAUACCUCAUAGUCAGCCAGUCUUUACCAGUUACACAUCAAUAAUCAUACAGUACAAUCAGAAUCAGUAAAAUUGACUUUCAAAUGCUUGACUGGGUAAAAUAAUCAUUGAACAGAGAAUGUGUCCCUGCCCUCUAUAAACCCACUGCUGUUCACACAUCAGAGCUCCUCUAACUGUGUGUGACAGGAUUUGUAUAGAGGAAGGGGCUUUGCAUACCUGUCCUGCCUCACUGCUCCACACACUUUAAGACCCCCAGCACUGAUCAGUGACUGUCCAGUCCUUUCACAGACACUGACACAGGCAGCAUUAUGAUGAUGUCACAUUUUCUACUGCUGGUGAUGCUGGGACUCCUUGUACAGGGAUCAAUGGCAGAUAAAGUUCUGACUCAGUCUCCAGCAGCUCGGUCUGUUCAGCUGGGAGACACUGUCUCUAUCAGCUGUACAGCCAGUGAGAGUGUGCGCACCUAUCUCAGCUGGUACCUGCAGAAACCUGGUCAGGCUCCUAAACUUCUGAUUUAUGGUGCCACAACUCGCCAGACUGGGAUUCCUGAUCGUUUCAGUGGGAGUGGAUCUGGGACUCAGUUCACACUGAAAAUCACUGGAGUCCAGGCUGAAGAUGCAGGAGAUUAUUACUGUCAGCAGUACGAUAGCUUGCCGUUCACACAGUGAUAGAGAGCCGUACAAAAACCUCCCUCAGUCAGACUGCACAGAGACUGCACUGCUGCAGCUGGGUCCUACUGCAGGUGCUGAGGGGGGAGGCACUGAUCUGGAACAUUGAGCCCUGUUAGAUUAUUAUUAAAAUGUUUAUAUUCUCAAGUCAAAACAAUUACCAUAUAUAUUAAUAUAUUUCAGAGAAUCCAAACUUUAAAUUAUGAAUGCAAUGUUGAAUAAUUUCCAAUAACUAUGCUUCAUAAUCUCUCCUUGGCCAAUAGACAUGUGUUGUUCUGAAGCAGUGCUCUGACAUAAAAUAUCACAUUUCUAAAUUAAUUGAUAGUUAAUGAGUUUAACACAGGAUGGGACAGAGCCCAGCAGCAGUGAACAGCAGGCAGUCCAGCACAGUGGAGUCGCUCAGUCCAGAGCUCUCCCAGCACACCUUACACAGGCUGCUGCUACACACCCUGACCAAUCAGAGAGCUCCACUGCUGCUUCUGAUCCCAUCCUCCAACCUCGUAAUAAAGGAGCACAAGCUACAGUCUGACGAGCUCUUCAGGACUGAUGGAGGAAUUACAGUUUAGGACAAAAAUGACACUAAAACCAGGCUAAAAUCAUGGAAUACGUUUUCCACGGUCAGCUUAGUUUUCACAAUAUUUAAAAAGAAGCAUCUUCAUUGCUAGUUGUCACAAUACAACUGCAUUAAAACUGAGAAAGAUGAUAUGAGAGAAAUCAGGAAACAUUCAAAAUAAUGCAGUAUUUCACUUUUAAAUGAUUCUAUAUGGACGUACUGUAACUGAAUAAUUUCCUGUGACUGACUGAUGUCCCUGACUGUCUGAUCUCAUGUUAUGAACCUGUCGUCAGUGCACACAAUAUGUUAAUUUUUAAGCAUAUUAUUUACAAUCAUACCUCAUAGUCAGCCAGUCUUUACCAGUUACACAUCAAUAAUCGUACAGUACAAUCAGCAUCAGUAAAAUUGACUUUCAAAUGCUUGACUAGGUGAAAACAGCAGUGAAUAGAGCACAUGUCCCAGCCCUCUAUAGACCCACUGCUGUUCACACAUCAGAGCUCCUCUAACUGUGUGUGACAGGAUUUGUAUAGAGGAAGGGGCUUUGCAUACCUGUCCUGCCUCACUGCUCCACACACUUUAAGACCCCCAGCACUGAUCAGUGACUGUCCAGUCCUUUCACAGACACUGACACAGGCAGCAUUAUGAUGAUGUCACAUUUUCUACUGCUGGUGAUGCUGGGACUCCUUGUACAGGAAUCAAUGGCAGAUAUAGUUCUGACUCAGGAUCCACCAGCUCGGUCUGUUCAGCAGGGAGACACUGUCUCUAUCAGCUGUUCAGCCAGUGAGAGUGUGGACAGCGAUCUCCAGUGGUACUUGCAGAAACCUGGUCAGGCUCCUAAACUUCUGAUUUAUUGGGACACAAUUCGCCAGACUGGCAUUCCUGAUCGUUUCAGUGGGAGUAAAUCUGGGACUCAGUUCACACUGAAAAUCACUGGAGUCCAGGCUGAAGAUGCAGGAGAUUAUUACUGUCAGCAGAGCGAGAGCUUCCCGCUCACACAGUGAUAGAGAGCCGUACAAAAACCUCCCUCAGUCAGACUGCACAGAGACUGCACUGCUGCAGCUGGGUCCUACUGCAGGUGCUGGGGGGAGGCACUGGUCUGGGACAGCAGUACUGCCAACUGGGCUGUAGGGGGCAACAAUGAGCCACAGCUCUGAAUGCACACCUCUCUGUGCUGAAGAGGAGCUGCUCUGUGUCACACACACUGAACCCAUAGCAGAGCUGCAGCUGAACCACACACACUUCUGUACCACAACAUCACAGGCAUCACACAGUACAUCAGCUCACAAGCAGAAAUCAUCUCCAUAUUGCUCUGGAGUUCAGACACAUGCAGAGGAUGUGUACAUUCUCCCAGAGGUGGAAUGAGUGGGAUUUCAAUUAAUUGUUUCCAGAAAGAUAUUAUGAGUUUGUAUUCAAUACAUACACUACCAUGUAUGUUAUUAAAGGUGUAUCUGUUCAAAUCGGAUCCAGGUUUAAGAAUAGCUGUGCUGGACUGAAUCAUAGUAUUUUUUUAUAACAUUUAAAAAAUAUUUUUCUUGGUCAUUUUUACGUGUCAGUUACUGCUUCUCUAUCUAAUAUACUUCUCUGCUUGCACCACCAAUGAAUACCUUCUGUGAUGACACUAAUGAAUCAGAGGUUAAAGAACGGACACAACCCACCAUUCUCAUCAGAAUUUUACAAGACAUAAUGCAGUAUGCAGGCACGUUUGAGAAGGAGCUAAUCGGAUUAAAUGUCUCACUUCAGCAAGUUCCUAUUGAAAAAUUAAGAUGACUGAAACAGAACUCAUUGAAGCUAUUGACUAUAUUACAUGCAGAAUAUAAAAUAAUUUGUGCAAAUUCUUUCUAGAAUACAAAAUACAGAUAGAAAAUAUAAUCAAUUUUGGUUAAAAUACAUUAUGUGCUUUAAAUAUUUAUGAUACAAGAACACAUUUUUAUUUCAUCUUUGUGUUUAAAUGUACCCCAUAAUGUCUUGCUUGUUUCUGGAUGGGUGGAAUAUGGCUUUAAGUUCCUGCACACAUCUGAAAUCUCUAAUCUGAGAUUCAUGCUGAAGCAGGUGUGAGGUACAGCCCCCUCCCUUUCUCACCUCAGUAUAGAAAUGAAUGCUCCAACUCCUCAUGUUCAAACAUCUGUUUUCGGUGUGGGGGUAUUUUGGGCUGAGAAACAGCGAGCUGUGGGUGAGGGGAGUGAAACUCAGAUUUGCAUACGAGGGGUAGGAGGGGGAGUGAAACUCAGAUUUGCAUACGCAGGGCGGGGCAGGCUGGUUCUGCUGGUCCCUCAGUGGGACUGACCCAAACUGGGAACAGGGCGCCGCUGUGCCCAGGUGUCUGGGCCGUCCCCAGGGGCACAGUGUGAGUUGAGCGCACUUCCUGCCGCACAGGACUGCUCUGAGCGCGCUCACACAUCACUGCUCCUCUCAGCAGGGCUCCAGAGCUGGGCCUGCCCCUCCCUGACUGAUUCCGCAUCGCUCACUUCACACACAGCCUCUCAGCACUAUGGAGCCCACUAUAAACACCUGCAUUUAUUCAAUAAGAAACAUCCCAAUAAAAUAGAGUAUCACAUUCUGUGUAUAAUUUAAAAUGAAGGACUUUAAGAAUGUAGUGGACCCACAGUCCUUGCUUAAUUACGUUUUUUAUUGAUAUGGUCUUUUUAUAAUUUCAUUUGGUUAUAGUACUUCUUGUAAUUAAUUAUAAUUAUGUUGUCUGUGAAAAGAAAACUCCGGUUACAUUUCUUAGGGUAUUCUUCCUAAAUUUAUAUCAAAUACACUGUUCAGAUUCAGGAAUAAAUAUCUAUUUGUGAUUAAA